UAACCUGCCCAAGAGACUGGGAUAACACCUGGAAACAGAUGCUAAUACCGGAUAACAACACUAGACGCAUGUCUAGAGUUUAAAAGACGGUUCUGCUAUCACUCUUGGAUGGACCUGCGGUGCAUUAGCUAGUUGGUAAGGCAACGGCUUACCAAGGCAAUGAUGCAUAGCCGAGUUGAGAGACUGAUCGGCCACAUUGGGACUGAGACACGGCCCAAACUCCUACGGGAGGCAGCAGCG
rnacentral:rRNA from 1 species